UUUCAUCGUCUGAGUCAGAUGCCACCAGCAGAAGAUGAUCCAGCUUGUUUCAAUCAGCCAGUCUCGUGCUUCUGUGUGAAUGAGGAAUUAGAAGGUGGGCGUGGAACAAGAGAGUUGUUUCAAGGUAAUCGAAGACACCAAAUUAUACCAGCAGUUUUUCAGAAGACAACCAGGUCAUUCUUAUUGGUGAAAGAAGAGAGGAAUUGAAUUCAUGCAUUUGGCUGACCAUGGUGUAGCAUCACCAUGUGCUUACGUAGCUGAAUAGUGGUUAUCCAUGAGCGAUGUAGGUUACCAAAUCUAGAGAUGGUGUGCACUUUACAGACCAAGGGCAAGAUUCAUUCAUUGGCCUCUGGCCACAGAGGGUCUGUUGGAAAUGGGGUCUCAGUGGUGCAAGCCGCCUGUGAGGACUGGGCUGGAACUGCUCAGUGCCCCUGUGAAGUUGGUAGCACUUGCCAGUAGAGAGAAGGGAUGGGAGUAGUCCAGCUUGAAGACACCCUUAUUCAGGGCUUUUCUCAGACAACCUCUAGGGAUUUUAAUGCUACCCUUCGCCAGCCAAACUGACCUGAAGAAGGACAAUGAUGGUACAGCUAUUUGUGAUUCAUGCGGGUGGAUCUUUUCUAGCAAAGAUGUUCCUGUGGAGGCAGAGGAUGAAGUUUGUAUCACCCUGUGCCUGCAGGUCUGAAUCUGGUCUUAAAUGUGCAGCAAUCCUUUCAGCAGCUUCUGAGUCAGAGGGAAGUGCAUCUAACAAGGACAUGUAUGCACUACAAAAUUGUGUUGAUCUAACCUAUGACGGCAUACAGCCAGCGCAAUUAUCAAAUCGCUUGUGUAUGUGCACACUUGGCUCCUUGUGUCAGUGGUGCAUGUCCUCACCAGGAGCUCUUGUAUCAACUGUAUUGUCAGGGGCAUUGAGGGACAGCUUCUGAAAGCCUGUAACAGUUGACAUAAGCAAUGCAGUGUCUGCACUGAUGCUGUGUCGAUGAGGUGCUUUUACUGGGGCUAUGUCUACGCUACCACCUAUGUUGGCAAAACUUUUGUCGCUCAGGGGUGUGACUAUUCCACCCCCCUGAGCAACAUAAUUUACAUUGACAUAAGCGCUAGUAUGCGCAGUGCUAUGUUGUGACAUAGCUUAUGCUGUUCACAGGGAUGGUCUUUUUAUGCCAACAGGAGGGUCCCUCCUGUCAGCAUAGAGCAGGGGUUGGCAACCUUUCAG